AUUCCAGCUCCAAUAGCGUAUACUAAAGUUGUUGCAGUUAAAAAGCUCGUAGUUGAAUUUCUGGUCUUGGACAGCGGUCUGCCUCAAAAGAGGUACGCACCAUCUAUCCGAGUCCAUCCUCGGGGAAAACAUGUGUGUGAUUCAGUUCAUGUGCAUGGGAUCCUCGUCAUUUACUGUGAGCAAAAUAGAGUGUUCAAAGCAGGCUUAUGCCGUUGAAUAUUUUAGCAUGGAAUAAUAAGAUAAGACCUUGGUCUAUUUUGUUGGUUUGUACUCCAAGGUAAUGAUUAAUAGGGACAGUUGGGGGUAUUCGUAUUCAAUUGUCAGAGGUGAAAUUCUUGGAUUUAUUGAAGACGAACUACUGCGAAAGCAUUUACCAAGGAUGUUUUCAUCG
rnacentral:rRNA from 1 species